UACGAGAGGUGCAAGCGUUGUUCGGAAUUAUUGGGCGUAAAGCGCACGUAGGCGGGUUCGUAUGUCGAUUGUGAAAGCCCCAGGCUCAACCUGGGAAUUGCAGUUGAAACUGCGAAUCUUGAAUACCUGAGAGGGUGGGAGAAUUCCUGGUGGAGUAGUGAAAUACGUAGAGAUCAGGAGGAAUACCGGAGGCGAAGGCGCCUGCCUGGCAGUGUAUUGACGCUGAGGUGCGAAAGCGUGGGGAGCAAACAGG
rnacentral:rRNA from 1 species